rnacentral:lncRNA from 1 species
UGUUUUUUAGACAGAAUUUUCUUAUAAUUUGCCAAAAUGAAGAUUUUACUAUUUGUUUAUCAAAAAUAUAAUAAAAAGUAUGGGUCACCGUGCUAUUUUUCAAGUUAUGAGUCGUUGAAAAUUGCCUAGAUUUGGUUAGUUUGUUCAUGAAAAAACACAUAAGAGUGCAUAAAAAAAAUUCUAUGAGAUAGAAUUUUGAAAUAAAUUGUGAGGAGAUAGGUUUCAUAAUAUCUUUUAAGAAAUAAAAAGAAAACAUGGUGUCACCUAACUUGUUUUCUUGCCACCAGUAAAAAUUAAAAAAAUCCCUAUUAGCCCAGUAUAAAUUUUGCACUAAAAGAGUUAUCUUCCCUUAAAUGGCUCAUUUGAAAGAAAUGAUUUAAAAACCAAAAAGGUUGAUAUUUGUUAAAAUAUUUUGAAU